UCUGUGCUUUGAUAAUUUUUUUACCCUCUUUCUUUCUUUUUUUAAGGGGGAUGUCUUUGUUAUUUUUCGAUUAUAUUUUGUUCUGUUUUGUUUCUAUUUUAACCAUUUUUUCCUCUUCUUUUUUUGUUAUUUAUCUCUUCUUUAAUUUUGUGUUAUCUCUCUUGUUACCUCCUUUAUUGAACUUGGUCACCUUAUUCAUGUCGCCUUUCACAAUUCACUUCCCUCUCUAUCACCUCAAAUUUACGUUCAUGUUUACACUUUCUUAUAAUCGCAUUUUUUUUUCUUUUUUUUUUUUGUUAUUUCCUUGUACUUUCAUUCAGUGUUUGUUAUCCUUCAUAUUAUCCAUUUAUCCAGAUAUUUAUUUUAUUUUCUUAUUCCAAUGAAACAAAAUACGUACGUUUAUGUGUACGUAUGUGUGUGUACGUGUUUGAUCAUUGUUUCGUGAAAGUAUCACGAAAUUUAGUUUGUGUAUUAUUGUUACUUACUUUUGAUUACUUUUUGUUAAUAUUACUGUUUGCAUUGCGCAUGUUGCGUUUUGUUUGUUUCUUACUUCACCCCGGCGCCAGCAGCCAGCACCCAGCAGCCGCCACGCAGGUCAGUUGUCUGUGGUGGCUGCUUCCGCCAGGGUGAGUGUGGUGUGGCGGCCGUGUGACAUGGCCCAUGCUGGUUCCCUGCUGUUCCUUGCGGGAUUACUACGAGAGAGAGUGUGGCCCCGAAGUCCCCCUGCGUUGCGAUGUUGGGGACCUGUCUGGCCUUAUUGGUACCAUCGACAUUAGAGAGAAGAGAUUUGUGUUUGUGGAUCGCAAUCUGCCCCUGGCAUCAUGAACCGGGCCAUGAUCAUCCACACGGAGAACGCGGGAGUGGAGCGGUUCGCCUGCGCCAAUAUUGAACCAGACGAUGACAUAAUUAAGUGGGUCAUUAUCAGAAAGGCGCCCAAAUUUUCUGUGCCUACCUUCAUGAUGGGCAUGCGCGAGGUGUUAUGGACGCCCAAGCAGCUGAUCUCCAGACGGUGACCUUGUCCAGUGACCAGUAGUGCGUGACCUUCGUGGUGCACUUCAUGGGUGAGUGGGUGGGGUAGUGGAGGGAGGGAAUAAGAGAUUUUUGUUUCCUUUAGUCAGUCCUUCAAUUCGUUUGUUGGUCAAUUUUCUUUGAUUAUCUUCUUUCAAUAUUCCUUUUUCUUUUAAUAUUCCUUUUUUUUUAUAUUCCGAUAAUUCAUUCUUUUAUAUUUUACUUUCCCUCAUUCAUUUGUUUCUCAUUUCAGCCCUUUCGACUAUUUUUUUUCUUUUCCUUUUUUCAGGUUUCUCAUUUCUUUCUCUCCCUUCGUCUAUCGUUUGUUUCAUUUCUCAUCCAGUCACCUCCUUUCGCCUAUUUUUUUUCUCCCUUUCUUACCUCUCCUUAUCAGUGAUAUUUAAGUCUUUCCUCUUUUGUCCCUCUCCUUGUUUCAUCUCAUCGGUCACGCUGAGUCCUCAUUUGUGUCGCUAUUCUCAGUCUCCCCUCAUUCCAUCUCUUCCUCUCAUCAUCUCAUCAACUUCUCUCCUCCUUUCACCUCCUCCUUUCACCUCAUCAUUGCAUCACAUUAAUAAAGUUUCCUUUAAUUUAGUUUACUCCUUUUCCUUCCUCCCAUACCCUCUCACACACACCUUCCCCUCACCCCUCUCC